CGGAGACGAGGGAUUUACAGCCCAGGCACAUUCACGCUGGGACCGGAGCAGCUGCCACUUCGGAAUCCAGUCCUGAGCUUUCCCCCCUGCUGUCCUUCUUGGGGUUGGUCAGAAGAGCAGGUGGGGCGGUGAGGGUGG
ensembl:misc_RNA